rnacentral:snRNA from 14 species
CUAAAUUGGAACAAUACAGAAAAGAUUAGCAUGGCCUCUAUGCAAGGAUGACACCCAAAUUCAUCCCCAUAUUUAU